rnacentral:rRNA from 1 species
CAGCCGCCGCGGUAAUACGAGGGGGGCAAGCGUUGUUCGGAUUUAUUGGGCGUAAAGCGUGCGCAGGCGGUUUGUUAAGACAGAUGUGAAAUCCCCGGGCUCAACCUGGGAACUGCAUUUGUGACUGGCAAGCUAGAGUAUGGCAGAGGGGGGUGGAAUUCCGCGUGUAGCAGUGAAAUGCGUAGAUAUCGGAAGGAACACCUGUGGCGAAAGCGGCUCACUGGACCAUUACUGACGCUGAGGCGCGAAAGCUAGGGGAGCAAACAGGAUUAGAGACCCGAGUAGUCCCUGUCUCUUAUAC